AACGAACGCUGGCGGCAUGCCUAACACAUGCAAGUCGAACGAGACCUUCGAGUCUAGUGGCGCACGGGUGCGUAACGCGUGGGAACCUGCCCUUAGGUUCGGAAUAACUCCCCGAAAGGGGUGCUAAUACCGGAUAAUGUCUUCGGACCAAAGAUUUAUCGCCUUUGGAUGGGCCCGCGUUGGAUUAGCUAGUUGGUAGGGUAAAAGCCUACCAAGGCGACGAUCCAUAGCUGGUCUGAGAGGAUGAUCAGCCACACUGGGACUGAGACACGGCCCAGACUCCUACGGGAGGCAGCAGUGGGGAAUAUUGGACAAUGGGCGAAAGCCUGAUCCAGCAAUGCCGCGUGAGUGAUGAAGGCCUUAGGGUUGUAAAGCCCUUUUACCCGGGAUGAUAAUGACAGUACCGGGAGAAUAAGCUCCGGCUAACUCCGUG
rnacentral:rRNA from 1 species